AUGUGGUGCGGGCAACUUCAGGCCAAGUCCUUGUACCUCUCCUAGGUAUCAUACAUGCUCUCAUCAUCAAAUUGCACAAAAGAAGAUAUGUUAUUUCUCAAUCU
rfam:Ricinus communis cultivar Hale ctg_1100012359895, whole genome shotgun sequence.